rnacentral:rRNA from 1 species
GAUGAACGCUAGCGGCAGGCCUAACACAUGCAAGUCGAGGGGCAUCAUGGCGUAGCAAUACGCUGAUGGCGACCGGCGCACGGGUGCGUAACGCGUAUGGAACCUACCCACCGCAGGGGGAUAACCCGCCGAAAGGCGGACUAAUACCCCAUGGUUCCCCGACCCUGCCUGGGGUUGGGGGUAAAGCCUACGGGCGGCGGUGGAUGGCCCUGCGUGCCAUUAGCUGGCUGGUGGGGUAACGGCCCACCAGGGCGACGAUGGCUAGGGGGUCUGAGAGGACGAUCCCCACACUGGGACUGAGACACGGCCCAGACUCCUACGGGAGGCAGCAGUGAGGAAUAUUGGACAAUGGAUGGAAAUCUGAUCCAGCCAUGCCGCGUGCAGGAGACAGCCCUAUGGGUUGUAAACUGACUUUUAUAUGGGAGCAAUAAGGUCUACGUGUAGACUGAUGAGAGUACCAUAUGAAUAAGCAUCGGCUAACUCCGUGCCAGCACGG